rnacentral:rRNA from 1 species
AUUGAACGCUGGCGGCAGGCCUAACACAUGCAAGUCGAGCGGAUGAAGGGAGCUUGCUCCUGGAUUCAGCGGCGGACGGGUGAGUAAUGCCUAUGAAUCUGCCUGGUAGUGGGGGAUAACGUCCGGAAACGGGCGCUAAUACCGCAUACGUCCUGCGGGAGAAAGUGGGGGAUCUUCUGACCUCACGCUCUCAGAUGAGCCUAGGUCGGAUUAGCUAGUUGGUGGGGUAAAGGCCUACCAAGGCGACGAUCCGUAACUGGUCUGAGAGGAUGAUCAGUCACACUGGAACUGAGACACGGUCCAGACUCCUACGGGAGGCAGCAGUGGGGAAUAUUGGACAAUGGGCGAAAGCCUGAUCCAGCCAUGCCGCGUGUGUGAAGAAGGUCUUCGGAUUGUAAAGCACUUUAAGUUGGGAGGAAGGGCAGUAAGUUAAUACCUUGCUGGUUUGACGGUACCAACAGAAUAAGCACCGGCUAACUUCGUG